CUCUAUCCGCUGUGGGCGCAAGGGAUUUGAGAGGAGCUGCCCCUAGUACGAGAGGACCGGGGUGGACAGACCUCUGGUGUGCCAGUUGUCGUGCCAACGGCAUUGCUGGGUAGCCAACGUCUGGCAGAGAUAACCGCUGAAAGCAUCUAAGUGGGAAACUCGCCUCUAGAUUAGAUCCCUCAUCCUGUUAAGGGAGUAAGAUCGCAGGUAGACUACCUGCUUGAUAGGCGGCGUGUGUAAGCGCAGUAAUGUGUUAAGCUAAGCCGUACUAAUGAUCGAGGGCUUCAUUGCG
rnacentral:rRNA from 1 species